rnacentral:rRNA from 1 species
GACGAACGCUGGCGGCGUGCUUAACACAUGCAAGUCGAACGGAAAGGCCCUGCUUUUGUGGGGUGCUCGAGUGGCGAACGGGUGAGUAACACGUGAGUAACCUGCCCUUGACUUUGGGAUAACUUCAGGAAACUGGGGCUAAUACCGGAUAGGAGCUCCUGCUGCAUGGUGGGGGUUGGAAAGUUUCGGCGGUUGGGGAUGGACUCGCGGCUUAUCAGCUUGUUGGUGGGGUAGUGGCUUACCAAGGCUUUGACGGGUAGCCGGCCUGAGAGGGUUACCGGCCACAUGGGGACUGAGAUACGGCCCAGACUCCUACGGGAGGCAGCAGUGGGGAAUAUUGCACAAUGGGCGGAAGCCUGAUGCAGCAACGCCGCGUGCGGGAUGACGGCCUUCGGGUUGUAAACCGCCUUCGCCUGUGACGAAGCGUGAGUGACGGUAAUGGGUAAAGAAGCACCGGCUAACUACGUG